GAUCAAGUGUAGAAAAGGAUAGGUGUUGACAAAAUGUUGUUUAAUCCAUUUGAUUAGUAUACGUAAAUCACCUCUUAUUGGUACACUUGUUCAUAUCAUUGUCAACAAAUUUCUUUAGCUUUGCACUAUAAAUAAAGCCAACAACUCUGGCAAAGAACUCGUACAAGAGUUGAUUUUACGAGUAGUAUUGUCCAUUAACAUAUUCUUCUGCUCUUCAAACAUCUCUGUGAAGAUGUCUUCCUGUGGAGGAAACUGCGGAAAGAUGUAUCCUGAUGUGGAAAAGGUCACAACUGUGACCAUCAUCGAGGGAGUUGCACCAAAGAACACAUACUCUGAUGAAUCUGCUGAGAAUAGCUCUGGUGCUGAAGGAGGUCAUGGCUGCAAGUGCGGUGCAAACUGCAAAUGUGACCCUUGUACCUGUUGAAGACAUAAUAUAUAGUUAGUUCCAAGUCCCCCAAAGCAGCUGUUCUGAUCUUGUCAUCAAGAAAACUCUUUGGGGGGAAAGAGAAGUGCUUUUGAUGUGGUCUGUGCUUGUAAUAUAUAAUAAGAUGGUCAUGGCUUCUGCAAAUCUAUGUCCUAGAUUUGUCAGAUAAAUCAUGGCCGUGAACUCCUGAGUCCUUGUAACCAUCCUUGUUUUGUGUCAGUUUACUGAAUUGCAAUGCUUGCUUAUUGAAGAAAUGAAUGUUGUUAUAUAUGUA